GGCGCGGUGGCCGAAUGGUUAAGGCGAUGGACUUAAAAUCCAUUGGGUUUCUAACCCUUGCGGGUUCGAAUCCCGCCCGCGUCG